AUUGAACGCUGGUGGCAGGCCUAACACAUGCAAGUCGAGCGGAGCGGCGGACGGGUGAGUAACGCCUAGCAAUCUGCCUGGUAGUGGGGGAAAACGUCCGGAAACGGGCGCUAAUACCGCAUACUAUCAGAUGAGCCUAGGCCGGAUGAGCUAGUUGGUGGGGUAAAGGCCUACCAAGGCGACGAUCCGGCACUGGUCGGAGAGGAUGAUCAGUCACACUGGAACUGAGACACGGUCCAGAAUCCUACGGGAGGCAGCAGUGGGGAAUAUUGGACAAUGGGCGAAAGCCUGAUCCAGCCAUGCCGCGUGUGUGAAGAAGGUCUUCGGAUUGUAAAGCACUUUAAGUUGGGAGGCGUUACCAACAGAAUAAGCACCGGCUAACUUCGUGCCAGCAGCCGCGGUAAUAC
rnacentral:rRNA from 1 species